rnacentral:rRNA from 1 species
CGGGUGAGUAAUAAAUAGGAAAGUGCAUUUUAGUGGGGGAUAGUCUCUGUAACCGGAGUUUAAUACCGCAUAAAUAUGAAAGUAGAAAGAAGCAGUUCGCUAAAAUAUCUGCCUAUUCAAGAAUUUCGGUAGUUGGUAGGGUAAAAGCCUACCAAGCCUAUAUUCUUUAGUUGGUCUGAGAGGAUGAUCAGCCACACUGGGACUGAGAUACGGCCCAGACUCCUACGGGAGGCAGCAGUGAGGAAUAUUGGACAAUGGAGGAAACUACUGAUCCAGAGACACCGCGUGAGUGAUGAAGGCCGCGAGGGUUGUAAAGCUCUUUUGGCAAAUGAAAUAAUGAUAUGGUUUGCAGAAAAAAGUACCGGCUAACUCUGUGCCAGCAGCCGCGGUAAUACAGAGGGUGCAAGCGUUGUUCGGAAUUAUUGGGCGUAAAGCGUAUAUAGGC